rnacentral:pre_miRNA from 1 species
GAUCAAAAAAUAAACUAACUAUUUUUGUUAAAAAUUGACGUGAGUAAUAGAAUAAUUAGACAAUUACAUGUGAUGCGCCACAUGUACUUCAUUCUGAGGUAUAAGGCCUAAUUUUUAACAGUAAAAAUAGAUAGAGUUUUUAACA